rnacentral:lncRNA from 1 species
GGCUUGCGGUACCCACUGGGAGGGGAGACAUGUUUACAUGUUCUCACCCCCCGCCCCCAUUACAGGUGACGUAGCAGGACCGAGUGGGACAGCUGGUGAGGAGCGUGUCUAGCGUGCGAUAGAGCUCCUUCCCGAGUCGGUUAUUCCUUUUACCCUUCAUGCUUGAAUAAAUACUUAGACAUAUUAUGGUUCAGUUUCUAUUUUAUUAUCUGACUAUCUGGGUUUUCAAUUGGUUUUGAAAUGUACUAAAGGAUUGGAGUUUUCUUGAAAUAAAACAGUUUUCUACCCCUCGUGGUAGCUGGUUUUGAAAAAGAAUGGUUCCCGUGUAGGGAUCAGUUUUCAAAUUGAUUUCUCUGUGGAUUUAUGGAUUUAGUAUUUCAAAAUCAGUUUCCAGGUAGGAAACAUUUUAACUGAUAGAUGUGGAAUGUUAUUCAUAUUCAAGUCUCAUAUCUGUGUGUGUGAAUGGAAUGGAUGAAUGUUAUCUAUCUUGUUGUUCAUCUGGUUGUGGUUGUGGUUGUGUGUGUAUCUAUACUCUGUUGUACUUGUGCGACGCCGUGCAAAUACAGGGGAGACUCUGUCCGUGUGAACAGUGGAACUCCUGUAUUUGUGGCGGAUCUAGCACACUCUGGGGUCAGAUUUUCAAAAAAAAAAAUUUCAGAC